rnacentral:misc_RNA from 1 species
GAUGAAGAACGUAGCGAAAUGCGAUACUUAGUGUGAAUUGCAGAUUCCCGUGAACCAUCGAGUCUUUGAACGCAAGUUGCGCCCGAAGCCAUUAGGCCGAGGGCACGCCUGCCUGGGCGUCACACGUCGUUGCCCCCCCAUCUACUCCUUCGGGAUUGCGGGGGGCGGAUGAUGGCCUCCCGUGCGCCUUGUCGCGCGGUUGGCAUAAAUGCCAAGUCCUCGGCGACGCACGCCACGACGAUCGGUGGUUGCGAAACCUCGGUUGCCCGUCGUGUGCGGUCGUCGCGCAUCGAGGGCUCGAAAAAAUUGUCGGGCUCCGGCUCGGCUUUCAACGCGACCCCAGGUCAGGCGGGGUUACCCGCUGAAUUUAAGCAUAUCAAUAAGCGGAGGA